rnacentral:rRNA from 1 species
CCCUUCGGGGUACCGAGCGGCGAACGGGUGAGUAACACGUGGGUAACCUGCCCUGUACUCUGGGAUAAGCCUGGGAAACUAGGUCUAAUACCGGAUAUGACCUGCCACUGCAUGGUGGUGGGUGGAAAGUUCCGGCGGUACAGGAUGGACCCGCGGCCUAUCAGCUUGUUGGUGGGGUAAUGGCCUACCAAGGCGACGACGGGUAGCCGGCCUGAGAGGGUGACCGGCCACACUGGGACUGAGACACGGCCCAGACUCCUACGGGAGGCAGCAGUGGGGAAUAUUGCACAAUGGGCGAAAGCCUGAUGCAGCGACGCCGCGUGAGGGAUGACGGCCUUCGGGUUGUAAACCUCUUUCAGCGGGGACGAAGGGCAACUGACGGUACCCGCAGAAGAAGCACCGGCUAACUACGUGCCAGCAGCCGCGGUAAUACGUAGGGUGCGAGCGUUGUCCGGAAUUAUUGGGCGUAAAGAGCUCGUAGGCGGUUUGUUGCGUCGGCUGUGAAAACUUCACGCUUAACGUGGAGCCUGCAGUCGAUACGGGCAGACUUGAGUUCGGCAGGGGAGACUGGAAUUCCUGGUGUAGCGGU